UAGGGAGGUAAUGAGUGGCUUUGUCAAUUACACAGCUGCAACUAUUUGCACUUUCUGGGAAUGAUAAUAAGGUGAGGCUCAGCUCUUGACGCUUUGAAAAGUGGGUGUUAUGCUGUGGCUUUUCUCUAGAAGGAAGGAGUUCCUAAUCAGACUUAACUUGCUCUGCUGCAGGAACUAUUUCUGAGCGCUGUGCUAUUCUGAACUCUGUAUUCUUUGAAUUGCUCAACUCCCAGUGGAGGCUCUUGGACAUGAUGAACUACUUGAUAAAAUUCACUUUCAAAAUUCAUUUUAAAACCCAAAUUUAUUGACAAAAGUCCUGCGCAUCGUCUGAAGGCCACAUUUUCAACAAGGACAAAAAUUACAUGGAACAUGAAAGAAAGGGAUGCUUUUCCUUUGUUCCAUACAUGCCGCCUGUAAAAAGCAAUUAACCUUUCUGGCUGUCAUCCUACUGCUGUCUCUGAGGGAUGAAAACAGAUUUUUAGUUUGAGAAGAGGUCUGAGAGAUGCUGAAGUUAUAAGUGGGGAACUCACGGGUAUUUCUGAAGGUAAAGUACCAACAUGAAAGGUCAAGGGAAAACAAAUGGAAUGAAAGCAUCAGGAAGACG